rnacentral:rRNA from 1 species
UACGUAGGGGGCAAGCGUUGUCCGGAUUUAUUGGGCGUAAAGAGCGUGUAGGCGGCCAGACAGGUCAGCUGUGAAAACUCGAGGCUCAACCUCGAGACGUCGGUUGAAACCGUCUGGCUAGAGUCCGGAAGAGGAGAGUGGAAUUCCCGGUGUAGCGGUGAAAUGCGCAGAUAUCGGGAAGAACGCCCGUGGCGAAGGCGGCUCUCUGGGACGGUACUGACGCUGAGACGCGAAAGCGUGGGGAGCGAACAGG